AUUGAACGCUGGCGGCAUGCCUUACACAUGCAAGUCGAACGGUAACGGGCCUUCGGGUGCCGACGAGUGGCGAACGGGUGAGUAAUACAUCGGAACGUGCCCGAUCGUGGGGGAUAACGAGGCGAAAGCUUUGCUAAUACCGCAUACGAUCUACGGAUGAAAGCAGGGGACCGCAAGGCCUUGCGCGGACGGAGCGGCCGAUGGCAGAUUAGGUAGUUGGUGGGAUAAAAGCUUACCAAGCCGACGAUCUGUAGCUGGUCUGAGAGGAUGAUCAGCCACACUGGGACUGAGACACGGCCCAGACUCCUACGGGGGGCAGCAGUGGGGAAUUUUGGACAAUGGGCGCAAGCCUGAUCCAGCCAUGCCGCGUGCAGGAUGAAGGCCUUCGGGUUGUAAACUGCUUUUGUACGGAACGAAAAGCCUUCUUUUAAUACAGGAGGAUCAUGACGGUACCGUAAGAAUAAGCACCGGCUAACUACGUG
rnacentral:rRNA from 1 species